rnacentral:lncRNA from 1 species
CUUUCCACCCAGGAAACCCAGCAGGGUUUGGCACAUCUGGAUGGAGCACUCAAUUUAGGAGCACAUGCAGAUUUUCGGCAAUUCAGGAACCAGGGGCAUUUUUCAUUUUUGUUUUCCCUGUUAUUUAUUUUCUUCACCUCAGGUUUUUGAAAACCAGAAACAGAUGGACUAAUCCAAGCUCCUCAGAGCAGACGGCGUCUCAAGCUCCCUGCGUUGAGGAAUGGAGCUCCCCUGCAGAGAGCUGCAGCCGUGGAAUAAUUGACUCCAGCUCUGCCGUGGAAAGAACCCCCUGAGAACUUUAAACCAUUAGCCUUUCCACUGGCCCCAUGGUCAACAACUGGUGGGAAGAUGUGUCCUCGUCUGAUCCUUGGGGUCACAAGCAUCACCCAGCUGCCAGACGUUGGGUAUCAUGGACCUGCUGGGGUGAUUCAGUAUCUACUGCAACUCUAGCUGGUGGAGAGCCUGCUUUCCCUUCCUGA